rnacentral:rRNA from 1 species
UGAGUACGAGAUGCUACGGCAUCGAAGCAGUCUAUGUCAUACUUCCAAGAAAAGCUUGCACUGUCAGAAACAGAUAAUGCCUGUACCAUAACCGACACAGGUGGGUAGGUAGAGUAUACUAAGGGGCGCGAGAUAACUCUCUCUAAGGAACUUGGCAAAAUGACUCCGUAACUUCGGGAGAAGGAGUGCCUUAUUUUUAAGGUUGCAAUAACAAGAUCCAAGCAACUGUUUACCAAAAACACAGGUCUCCGCUAAGUCGAAAGACGAUGUAUGGGGGCUGACGCCUGCCCAGUGCCAGAAGGUUAAAGAAGUCGGUUAGCAUUCGCGAAGCUGGUAACUGAAGCCCUGGUGAACGGCGGCCGUAACGAUAACGGUCCUAAGGUAGCGAAAUUCCUUGUCGGGUAAGUUCCGACCCGCACGAAAGGCGUAAUGAUUUGGAUACUGUCUCGGAGAGGGGCUCGGUGAAAUAGACUUGUCUGUGAAGAUGCGGACUACCUGCACCUGGACAGAAAGACCCUAUGAAGCUUUACUGUAACUUGAAAUUGAAAUUGGACUUUAUUUGCGCAGUAUAGGUGGGAGGCGUUGAAAAUAUUCUUGCGGGAAUAUUGGAGCCAUCAGUGAGAUACCACUCUUGUAAUGUUAGAUUUCUAACUUUAUAUCAUUAUCUGGUUAAAGAACAGUUUCAGGCGGGCAGUUUGACUGGGGCGGUCGCCUCCCAAAUGGUAACGGAGGCGCACAAAGGUUUCCUCUGAACGGGUAGAAAUCGUAUCUAGAGUGUAAAGGCAUAAGGAAGCUUGACUGUGAGACCUACAAGUCGAGCAGGGACGAAAGUCGGUCUUAGUGAUCUGACGGUGCUGAGUGGAAAGGCCGUCACUCAACGGAUAAAAGUUACUCUAAGGAUAACAGGCUGAUCUCCCCCAAGAGUUCACAUCGACGGGGAGGUUUGGCACCUCGAUGUCGGCUCAUCGCAUCCUGGGGCGGUAGUACGUCCCAAGGGUUGGGCUGUUCGCCCAUGAAAGCGGUACGCGAGCUGGGUUCAGAACGUCGUGAGACAGUUCGGUCCAUAUCCGGUGUAGGCGUUAGAAUAUUGAGAGGAGCCUUCUUUAGUACGAGAGGACCGAGAAGGACAUACCUCUGGUGUACCAGUUAUCGUGCCAACGGUAAACGCUGGGUAGCUAUGUAUGGAGUGGAUAACCGCUGAAAGCAUCUAAGUGGGAAGCCCACCUCAAGAUAAGUAUUCUCCU